rnacentral:rRNA from 2 species
CAUCCUCCAAGGCUAAAUACUCCUGACUGACCGAUAGUGAACCAGUACCGUGAGGGAAAGGCGAAAAGAACCCCGGCGAGGGGAGUGAAAAAGAACCUGAAACCGUGUACGUACAAGCAGUGGGAGCCUCUUUUAUGGGGUGACUGCGUACCUUUUGUAUAAUGGGUCAGCGACUUAUAUUCUGUAGCAAGGUUAACCGAAUAGGGGAGCCGGAGGGAAACCGAGUCUUAAUUGGGCGUUAAGUUGCAGGGUAUAGACCCGAAACCCGGUGAUCUAGCCAUGGGCAGGUUGAAGGUUGGGUAACACUAACUGGAGGACCGAACCGACUAAUGUUGAAAAAUUAGCGGAUGACCUGUGGCUGGGGGUGAAAGGCCAAUCAAACCGGGAGAUAGCUGGUUCUCCCCGAAAGCUAUUUAGGUAGCGCCUCGUGAAUUCAUCUCCGGGGGUAGAGCACUGUUUCGGCUAGGGGGCCAUCCCGGCUUACCAACCCGAUGCAAACUGCGAAUACCGGAGAAUGUUAUCACGGGAGACACACGGCGGGUGCUAACGUCCGUCGUGAAGAGGGAAACAACCCAGACCGCCAGCUAAGGUCCCAAAGUCAUGGUUAAGUGGGAAACGAUGUGGGAAGGCCCAGACAGCCAGGAUGUUGGCUUAGAAGCAGCCAUCAUUUAAAGAAAGCGUAAUAGCUCACUGGUCGAGUCGGCCUGCGCGGAAGAUGUAACGGGGCUAAACCAUGCACCGAAGCUGCGGCAGCGA